AAGUCGAACGGUAGCAGGCCUUCGGGCGCUGACGAGUGGCGGACGGGUGAGUAACGCGUAGGAAUCUGCCUAGUAGUGGGGGACAACUUAUGGAAACGUAAGCUAAUACCGCAUACGCCCUACGGGGGAAAGCAGGGGAGCUUCGGACCUUGCGCUAUUAGAUGAGCCUGCGUUGGAUUAGCUAGUUGGUGGGGUAAAGGCCUACCAAGGCGACGAUCCAUAGCUGGUCUGAGAGGACGAUCAGCCACACUGGGACUGAGACACGGCCCAGACUCC
rnacentral:rRNA from 1 species